rnacentral:rRNA from 1 species
CUCUGAAGAGAGAGUCAAAGACCGUGAAACCGCUCAGAGUAUAAGCCAAUGGAGCUUGGAAGGCUUCCGCAGAUGGUGUCCAUCAUACGUGGUGUUCUUAAGACCUUGAGUGUGGCUCGUCAGGCGACAGCAUUGAGUUUGCCCGGUAGCUGUCGUGCGGGGGUACGGUGUGGAGGGCUGAGGCUUCGGCCGAAGUGCUUCCAGCUGUCCCUUUUGAAUGGACGUUCAGAGCUCUUGUGUCUAAUGCGGUUAUGCCCACCACAGCACGUUGUGAGGUCACCCACAGGCUCAAACUGCCGAUCGCGCAUCCAGGACGAUGGCAACGAUGCGUUGUUGACGAUGGCUCCAGAGAGAGACUUCGCUCACACGCGUGUCUAGUCCUGGGUCGGGCGGCGACCGAGAUAAACCUGGUAUGAUCCUCUUGCGACGAGCUGCUUUCUGGCCAGACCGACGCCCGGACGCCUCCACUGUGCCGGAAGCGUCAACCCCAGGCGGUGUGAACCCAGCUGCAUUAUGCAAGGUCUCUCAGCCGGGCGUUGGUCUGAGUGGUGUUAAGUCCAGCACCAUCGGUCACGUCUCGAAACACGGGCCAAGGAGUAUAGCAUGUGUGCAAGUCUAAGGGUCUCACAAAACCCGAAGGCGAAGUGAAAGCAAGACUGUGGCGGGGGAGCUACGGCAAACCCGCCGGCCUAGUGACGCUCGGUUGCUGGCUUUUAGCAGAGCUGAUCCUGUUUUACUCGGUUAAUUCUUGGUGCA